rnacentral:rRNA from 1 species
CGUAACAAGGUCUCCGUAGGUGAACCUGCGGAGGGAUCAUUACACAAAUAUGAAGGCGGGCUGGAACCUCUCGGGGUUACAGCCUUGCUGAAUUAUUCACCCUUGUCUUUUGCGUACUUCUUGUUUCCUUGGUGCGUUCGCCCACCACUAGGACAAACAUAAACCUUUUGUAAUUGCAAUCAGCGUCAGUAACAAAUUAAUAAUUACAACUUUCAACAACGGAUCUCUUGGUUCUGGCAUCGAUGAAGAACGCAGCGAAAUGCGAUAAGUAGUGUGAAUUGCAGAAUUCAGUGAAUCAUCGAAUCUUUGAACGCACAUUGCGCCCUUUGGUAUUCCAAAGGGCAUGCCUGUUCGAGCGUCAUUUGUACCCUCAAGCUUUGCUUGGUGUUGGGCGUCUUGUCUCUAGCUUUGCUGGAGACUCGCCUUAAAGUAAUUGGCAGCCGGCCUACUGGUUUCGGAGCGCAGCACAAGUCGCACUCUCUAUCAGCAAAGGUCUAGCAUCCAUUAAGCCUUUUUUUCAACUUUUGACCUCGGAUCAGGUAGGGAUACCCGCUGAACUUAAGCAUAUCA